rnacentral:rRNA from 1 species
UGUAAAUAUGCCGACAGCCAAGGAUACAUACGAGUGGCUUGAGGCUGCGCUGAAAAGAAAAUAUCCAAAUCAGCCUUUUGAGAUGCAGUACAUCGAUAUUCAUGAGCCGCCUGACAAUGAACAUGCGAAAGAGCUUGCGGAAAAAAUCAGAAAUGACGAGUAUUUUUAUCCGCUUGUGCUUGUAGAAGACAAAAUUGUCGGUGAAGGCAAUCCAAAAUUAAAAGACGUUUAUGAGGAAAUGGAGAAGCAUGGGUAUACAGAAAACCGCUGACUUGAUCAGCGGUUCUUCUCUAUCAUUAACCGUUAUGGUGUUUAUACAUCCACAGCAAGCCGGAUUUCAGCAUACGCGGAACACGGCCGAUCAGCGGACGGUCAGCAACAAGCCCGAAGCCGGCUUUUUUUCCGAGUUGAACCGAGGACGCCUUUCAGCUUAAACUGCGGCAUUGAUUCAGGCAGGGCUUCUCCAUUCCAGCGUUUUUGCAAGAUUUGGACAAUCUGCUCUGCUUGAGCCUCUGCCAGCUGGGCGCUCGGUGCAUGAGGAAGGCUGGCGCAAUCGCCGACAACGUACAGAUGUUCAUCACCUGGAAGAUUAUGAUGAGGCGUUAAUACAAUACGCCCUUGUGCGUCCUUCUCCACAUCUAAGUCUCUGACGACUUUGUUUGGCUGGAUGCCGGCUGUCCACACGAUGGCGUCUGCAGAAAUCGGAUCAUCGUGGUUAUACACAACGCCUUCUUCUACUUUUGUGAUAUUUGCCCUGUUAAUAAUGCGGACACCGUGCUCUUCGAACCAUUUUUGCACAUAUUUGCUUAAACGCUCGGGAAAGCUUGAUAAAAUGAGAUUACCGCGGUCGAACAAAAUAAUGUUCAGGUCAUCACGGCUUUCUCUCAAUUCACUUGCAAGCUCAACGCCGCUUAAGCCCGCUCCGACAAUGGCGACGGUGGCAUUAGCGCUCAGAUUAUUCAGCUUUUGGUAGGUUUCGCGGGACUGAUCGAUGGUUUGAAUACUGUAGGUGAAUUCAGGCGCUCCCGGCACGUUGUGAUAUUUAUCCUCACAGCCGAGCCCGAUUACGGCGUCAUCGUAAGAAAAAGGUUCACGAUCUUGGAACAGCACUUGUUUUUGUACAAUAUCAAUUGAUGUGAUAUCACCGUAUUGGACAUCCAGGCGAGGGUGCUCUGGGAAUGACACUCUGAUAUGAUGGUCAGAAAUUGUGCCUGCGGCAAGGGCAUAAUAUUCUGUUUUCAAGCAGUGAUAAGGAUUUCUGUCAAUUAACGUGAUUGAAACAUCAUCAGGCAGCUGGUUUGGCAAUAAGCGAUGAAGAACGCGCAUGUUCCCGUAACCUCCGCCGAUCAAGACCAAUUUUUUCAUUUGAAUUCCCCUUUAAUCCGAAGAGUAUGAUAGAUACAUUGAAGAAAAUACGAACUAUGUAAAAUAACAUCUAGAAUUAUAUCGAAUUUGAUCUAAAAUCACAAUAAUAGUUUCAAAAUAACCUACAAUUUAGCCUGAAAACACAAAUUAGUAAAACGUUAUUUGAGAAAUAAUAUGUUACGAUAAUAAAUUUUGAAUCAUCCGUUGUCUUUGACGAAUAGUGAAAAAUUCGCGAUAAUGGACAUAUGUGAGGUGAAACCGCAUGAAUCCAAUGAUUGAAUUUUGUGUCAGCAAUCUGGCUCACGGCUCUCAGGAAGCCCGGGCGAUUUUGGAGAAGGAUCCCAACCUUGAUGUCCUUGAAUAUGGCUGCUUAAGCUACUGCGGGACAUGCAUGGAAUCGCUUUUCGCUCUGGUAAACGGAGAAGUCGUCAUGGGUGAAACGCCUGCUGAGCUUGUUGAGAAUAUAUAUACCUUUAUUGAAGAAAAUCCAAUGUUUUAAAGAAAAGGGCCUGGACAGGCCCUUUUUUAUUUUGCCGUACAAAAGAACUAAAAAAAUGUGUAGACAUCAAAAAAUAUUAUUGUUAUCGUAUAAAAGAUAUUUUUUUAAAUAAAAUUUAAGAGGUGUACGAGUAUUCAUGAAUGUUCUGUGGGGGCUGCUGGGCGCAGUUGCGAUCAUUGCUAUCGCGUUUUUAUUUUCAGAAAAGAAAAGCAAUAUUAAGAUAAGAACCGUCAUCGUUGGUUUAUGCACACAGGUGGCGUUUGGAUACAUCGUGUUGAAAUGGGAAGCGGGACGCGCUGUUUUUUUAUGGUUUUCAAGCCGUGUACAGCUUCUGAUUGACUAUGCGAAUGAAGGCAUCAGUUUUAUUUUUGGACCGCUUCUAAAGGUCGGAGACAGUCCGGCAUUUGCAUUAAGUGUACUGCCCGUUAUCAUUUUCUUCUCAGCACUGAUUGCAGUUUUAUAUCAUUUGAAAAUCAUGCAGCUCGUUUUCCGUGUCAUUGGCGGCGGAUUGUCGAAGCUCCUUGGAACAAGCAAAACGGAAUCUCUGGCGGCUGCUGCCAAUAUUUUUGUAGGACAAUCAGAAUCUCCGUUAGUGAUCAAACCCCUGAUUGCCGGGCUGACGCGCUCUGAGUUGUUUACGAUUAUGACGAGCGGUCUAUCGGCAGUUGCGGGAUCUACCUUGUUUGGGUACGCGCUUCUCGGUAUUCCGAUUGAGUACUUGCUGGCGGCCAGCUUUAUGGCUGCUCCAGCUGGACUAGUCUUUGGUAAAUUGAUUAUACCCGAAACGGAAAAAACGCAAACCGUAAAAAGCGAUUUCAAAAUGGAUGAAGGCGAAGGCGCAGCCAAUGUCAUUGACGCAGCUGCAAAGGGAGCGUCAACAGGACUGCAAAUUGCGUUAAAUGUUGGGGCGAUGCUGCUUGCGUUUGUUGCGUUAAUCGCUGUAGUAAACGGUAUUCUCGGCGGGGCUUUCGGCUUGUUCGGUUUAAAAGGCGUAACAUUAGAAUCCAUUCUCGGCUAUGUGUUUUCUCCUAUCGCCUUUUUGAUUGGCGUGCCUUGGCAUGAAG